AUUAAUGCUCGCGGCGUGCCUUAUGCAUGCAAGUCGCACGGUUACCCGCAAGGGUGAUAGUGGCAAACGGGUGAGUAAUACGUAGGUGACCUGUCCUGAAGUGAGGAAUAACCCUUCGAAAGAAGGACUAAUACCCCAUGUUAUGGCAAGAAUGAAGUUUUGCUAUCAAAGCCGUAAGGCGCUUGAGGAGGGGCUUACGUCCGAUUAGCUAGUUGGUGAGGUAACGGCCCACCAAGGCGAUGAUCGGUAGCUGAUCUGAGAGGAUGACCAGCCACACUGGGACUGAGACACGGCCCAGACUCCUACGGGAGGCAGCAGCAGGGAAUAUUGCGCAAUGGGCGAAAGCCUGACGCAGCGACGCCGCGUGAGGGAUGAAGGCCUUCGGGUCGUAAACCUCUUUUCUCAGGGAAGAAUAAUGACGGUACCUGAGGAAUAAGUCACGGCUAACUACGU
rnacentral:rRNA from 1 species